AGUCUCGCUGCUGUUAAAAAAUUUGCUUGAUCGAGUUUGGAACCUUCAGAUUCUAUUCAGGUUCUGGACUGGCUUUUUUGGCUGAGGUGUCUUUGGUUGGACAUUUGGACAGAAAUUGCAAACCACUCGCUUCAACUUUAAAGGUUUGACACCAUGGCUGCACAGAUUAAGUUCCUGGAAUAGUGGGAAGACAAGAGUUUGUAUCAAUAUGUUGGCUAUUGAAACCAAGUUCCUGCACAAACUCUAUAUGUGGCAUGUUUUACGUAGUUGUAUCAGCUUUUGGGAAAUGCUUUUAACAUUAAGAGAUAUAUGGAAUAGGUUUGAUUACUCA